rnacentral:rRNA from 2 species
CAGGGAUUGCCCUAGUAACGGCGAGUGAAGCGGCAACAGCUCAAAUUUGAAACGUGGCGCUUGCGUCGGGAUUGUAAUUUGUAGAGGAUGCUUCUGGGCAGCGGCCGGUCUAAGUUCCUUGGAACAGGACGUCACAGAGGGUGAGAAUCCCGUAUGUGAUCGGCGCGCACCCUCCACGUAGCUCCUUCGACGAGUCGAGUUGUUUGGGAAUGCAGCUCUAAAUGGGAGGUAAAUUUCUUCUAAAGCUAAAUAUUGGCCCGAGACCGAUAGCGCACAAGUAGAGUGAUCGAAAGAUGAAAAGCACUUUGGAAAGAGAGUUAAAAAGCACGUGAAAUUGUUGAAAGGGAAGCGCUUCCCACCAGACUCCGCGGCGGUGUUCCGCCGGUCUUCUGACCGGUCUACUCGCCGCCGUGGGGCCAGCAUCGUCUGGGGCCGCCGGAUAAGACCGCAGGAAUGUAGCUCAUUGAGUGUUAUAGCCUGCGGGGAUGCGGCGCGCCCCGGGCGAGGUCCGCGCUUCGGCAAGGAUGCUGGCGUAAUGGUGGGCAGCGGCCCGUCUUGAAACACGGACCAAGGAGUCUAACAUCUAUGCGAGUGUUCGGGUGUCAAACCCCUACGCGUAAUGAAAGUGAACGGAGGUGGGAGCUUCGGCGCACCAUCGACCGAUCCUGAUGUCCUCGGAUGGAUUUGAGUAAGAGCAUAGCUGUUGGGACCCGAAAGAUGGUGAACUAUGCCUGAAUAGGGUGAAGCCAGAGGAAACUCUGGUGGAGGCUCGCAGCGGUUCUGACGUGCAAAUCGAUCGUCAAAUUUGGGCAUAGGGGCGAAAGACUAAUCGAACCAU